CAUCAGGCAAAAACAAUAAACGAUUGCUAACAUCCGUAAGAACCUGUCUUGAGAUCACUAAACUUACAUAUUCGUGUACAACUGUAAAAUCAAAUGAUUUAGUCUUAUGAUAUACUUAUAAGUAUAUUAAGAAAAGAGGAUAUAUUCAAAGAAAAUGUGACAUACUUGCUUCAAUGAAUAUCUUCAAAGCAUCAACCAUUUCUUCAUUGGACAAUAAUAGUAUCGAAUCCAACACCGCUCGAUACCUGCUUACUUUUCUGCUUGAUCUUUAUGAGAACCACCGGAACAUGCUACAUUCAUGAGCUGUUGACGUACAAAAGUCGCCGCCGUCACCACCAU